CUUUUGUGCCUCAAAAUCCAUCCUUAGUCCCUAGGAUAGUUUCGGCUAGCCUCCUCCUAUCUCCACCCUUGGAGAGUAGGAAACCUAGAGUGGCCUCCACCUACCUUGGAGUGAGCCAACUUUGAGCACCCAAACACCUCCACCCUAAGUGUUUCCGCCCAAACACCAUCAUUUCACGCCAACUUCCUUUCAUUCACCAUAUAUCCUCCUUUUGUCCACCUUGUUGAACCUAGAUCAAGGGCAAGGCUUCCUCUCCUUCAUCUCUACAUCAUUUCAUGGAGAAGGAACCCAUCAGGUUAUCUUCCGCCUGUUCCUGAAUUGGGAAAAAGGCCUGUCAAAACACCGCGAGAUGGCAAAGGGUGGAAGGCGCGGCGAGAUUGACGGAAAAUAUCUCAAGUGCAACCUCUACUCCCGCUUUGAUGUUUAAUUUUCAACGAACAAAUCACGACUGUGAGCCCAAGCCCGAUUCCCCAGUUUCCUCCGACACCAAACAAUGUCGUUGUGGCCAUGGCGCUUGCGAAGUCAAAACCUCACGGAGUGGCAGGAACUUCUAUGCCUACCCCAUCAAAAGGGUAUGAUUCCUGUUAAGUUUUUUGAUAUAAGAAAAUAUAGAUUGAUAGACAUUAAAACUAUUUUAUAUAACAUUAAUUUACUGG